GGGCAAUGACGCAGCUAGUGAGGUUCUAACCGAGGCGCGUCUAUUGCUGGUUGAAAACUAUUUCCAAACCCCCUCUUCGGCCCUGGUUCGCCCAGGGCCGUCGAGAAUUUUUGGAUGGGCUCCCUUCUGGGUAAAGCCCAACAAUUCUAGCAUAAAAUUUUCCCUUCUGGGGCCUUCGAACCAGGGCCGUCGAGAAUUUUUGGAUGGGCUCCCUUCUGGGUAAAGCCCAACAAUUCUAGCAUAAAAUUUUCCCUUCUGGGGCCUUCAUCGUUAGCUUCGUCUAAUCAAGUCUUUUGUGUUUUUACAUGCACUUGGGGUGUACUUUUCGAGACAGAGUGGCUGCAGAUACAACAUGUAAUUAGUGGUAAAAUAUUUUUAAUUUAAAAAAAAAAAAUAAAAAAUCGAAAGUCCCACUAAAUGAAAGCUUUUUUCGGUAAUAAUUAUGAGAAUUGGUUUUUGAUUGUUAAAGAAAAAGUAAGUUCUACCUAUAAGAGAAUAAAUGAAAAAUGAUAGUUAGAAUUGUAAAAUAAUAAUGAAAAAAUUGAAAAAUGAAUAAUGAAUGUUAAAAUAGUG
rnacentral:lncRNA from 1 species